AGCAGCCGCGGUAAUUCCAGCUCCAAUAGCGUAUAUUAAAGUUGUUGCAGUUAAAAGCUCGUAGUUGAACUUCGGGGUUAGUAGGCUGGUCGUGCCACUGGUACGUACUGGUCUCACUGAUUCCUCCUUCCUGAUGAACUGUAAUGCCAUUAAUUUGGUGUUGCAGGGAAACUGGACUGUUACUUUGAAAAAAUUAGAGUGUUUAAAGCAAGCUAACGCUUGAAUACAUUAGCAUGGAAUAAUGAAAUAGGACGUUCGAUCCUAUUUUGUUGGUUUCUAGGAUUGACGUAAUGAUUAAUAGGGAUAGUUGGGGGCAUUAGUAUUCAAUUGUCAGAGGUGAAAUUCUUGGAUUUAUUGAAGACUAACUACUGCGAAAGCAUUUGCCAAGGAUGUUUUCAUUAAUCAAGAACGAAAGUUAGGGGAUCGAAGACGAUCAGAUACCGUCGUAGUCUUAACCAUAAACUAUGCCGACUAGGAAUCAGACGAUGUUAAUUUUUUAAUGACUCGUUUGGCACCUUAC
rnacentral:rRNA from 1 species